UUUGGCAACAUAAAUAACAAUGUUAAAAUUUUGAAAUAACAUGUUUACGAAUUUUGAAACUAUAUACUGCAUGUUUGUGCAAAUAACUUUUUGUACGUGUUAAUUUAGUCACAUGUAAAAUAAGCAGUGUGUGGAGCUAGGUUAGCUGUGUAUUCAUAAUACAUUAUAAUUAAGAGAAUAUGUGGUUAGGUUAGCUGAAAUAAAUAUACCAAUAUCAACCAUUCACAUCAUAGUUUUUGUUCCCUUUUUCCAAUACAAAAACAGAUUCUAAGAUUCCUUAAAUGUGCCACAAAGAAUUUAAACUAUUUAUAUAUACUGGAUUUUGGAGUACAUAAUAUUAUUUACAACAAAUACUGUUUCCUGAUGAUGGCGACUGAAACGUCGAUGAUAACCACAUCCUUGGCGCGGAUACAACCCAGAAGCCAAGCAACUCCAGACAAUGCCCGCCAAAGCCUGCGAUCAUUAUUAAAUACUAAAUAAUUAUGGGCAAGUUUAAAAUUCCUUGGUUUAAUACCAAAGAAUUUAAAAUUUGUAAUGCAUGUGAAAAUAGUAGUAAUAUGUUUCACAGCCAUAAAAAACAUUUUUCCCCGCCUUAUAUAUAGUGUAAUAUUUUCCUGUUAAAUUUUUUGUGGUUGUAUUAUUAAUCUGGUUUAUAUGGUGUGAUUGAGUUUUCCCUGUAGUUGAGUAUACUGUAUAAUUUUUUUGGUUUUUUUUUAGGUGGUAUCUCAAGAACUGGCUGCACAUUUGCAGCAGUAUGUGCAUUUCCCAGGGGUUCCACAACUAAGGGAAAACACACUGAGGUUUUUUGAGGUGGGUGGCUUCCCAGGAGUGAGUGGCUGUAUUGACUGCACUCACGUGGGAAUAAGCAGCCCAGGAGGUCAGUUCGCAGAACUCUAUCGAAACCGCAAGCAGUACAUGUCGCUGAAUGUCCAGGUUGUUAGUGGACCGAAUUUGGAGAUCCUGGAUGUAGUCACAAGAUGGCCUGGCAGUACCCAUGACUCUCGUAUCUUCAACAACAGUAGAGUCAUGGUUCGUUUUGAAACGAAGACUCUGCCUGGACAUCUUCUGGGAGAUAAUGGAUAUCCUCAGUUGGAAUUUUUGUACACUCCAUUAUUGGCCCCAGUAACUCCUGCAGAUAUCCAAUACAACACUGCUCACAAGAAAACAAGGAAUCUGGUGGAACGAUUGUUUGGUGUUUGGAAGCGAAGAUUCGCAUGCCUUGGGCAUCGGCUGCGAACAAAGCUCCAAACAUCAAGCACAGUAAUUCUUGCUUGUGCUGUGCUGCACAACGUGGCAGUGCGACGUGGAGAGCCUCUGCCACCUCCAGGUGAUGAGAACCAUCUGCCUGCAGUGCCUGUGGCAAAUUUACAGCCACGCAACAACCGCGGAGCAGUAAUCCGAAGACAGUUUAUAGAGCGUCAUUUUAAUUAGCAUUAUUAAACAAGUUGUUUCUUCAUGUAUUUCGUUAAAUACUUAAUUACCUUCUCUGGAUAAACUUUGACUUAAAUUAAAAUUGGUGAUUCCCUAAAGUGUUUUGUUAUAUGUCUUGGAACUAUCGCACAAUGCCAAGAUGUCUGCUCCAUGUUUUAAUUGGCAUUCUGGAAGACCUGAAUAAUAUUUGAACUGUUGAUUUCAGAUGAGCCUGCCAUGGUUUAAUAGGCCUCUUGGGGAAACUCUCCAUGCAAAUAAAAAAGAGUUAACGCAUUGGGCACUGUACCUCUAGAGGUGAUGUGGAAACCAGUGCACAUCCCAGGAGAAGACUUCCAGUGGAUCAUGGAAAAAAACAGUAAGUUUUUGUCCCCCCUUUUGUAUAUUAGUUUUUCAAUGUUUAUUUUUUGGUAACCCUUACAUUCCUUUUAGUUGUUUGCAAUUUCAAGUGCACACACAUACAAUUCAUAUUUACUCACCAGGAAUGUAAAUGAAAAGACAUGUUAACUGGUAUACAGUUAUGUUGUAAGAAACCAAGAACACAUAGGAAACAAAUAAGGUGAUGUGUUAUUUUAGAUGAUAACAUACAUGGGAUUGAUUUUAAUUCCAAUAAAUCCAAAUAUGAAAAUGUUUCAUAAAUCGUGCAUUUCCAUGUGGUUUGUUAAAAUGUUUAAUGUAUAUGUAAACUCUUGUAGAUAUGUAUUCUAAUAAAUUGCUUAUCUAUAUGAUUUAAAUGACUGAUGAUUCUUAUUGCAUAAAGUUCAAGGGUUUUAAAAAGUGUGUUAGCUAAAUUGCAUCAUAAUGCCAUAUUUACUUACUAUUACAUACAGUAGCAGGUCCAGAAGCUCGAAUGUAUUUUAUUAUGGGUUGGUAAGGUGUUGAGGUUUGUGUUGAGAAACUAUUUCCUCAAAAUCAUUUGGUACGUAUGCACUUAAUUUUUUUAAUACUUUUUGUUUAUAAGUGCUAGUGUGAGGGCCUCCUGUUAAAAAAAACUGUUUGUGAAGGUAAUUGAAUGUACUCCUGUUUUCUUACCAUUGAUUCCUUCAUAAACACUGUGACUACCUUUGCAUCAAAUAAUAUUUAUUUUCUUUCUAAGAAGAGAGAAGAAUUAUUCACAUACUUAAUGAAUGUUAUAAAGUUUAAACAUUGUCAGUUUAAAGAGGUGGAUACAAUUUGUAGUGUAACAGCUACAAAGAUAAAAUUAAAUUUACUAAUAUUUUUUCUAGUGAUGCUUCUGGUAAAUUAGGCACAUAAAAACUAAAGUGAAAAGUAUAUUAAUUAGGUAAGCUAUGUUUUUACAUAUUAUGUACCUACUUGAAUACAUAUUUUUAAUGUACCUUACUUUCCUUACCCAACCUUGCUCUAUAGUUAAUUUUUCCAUAUGUAAGCUGAUGCUCUACAGAUAAUGUAUUGUCUCCAUUGAGGUCAUUAGAAACAAUGGAGGGAAAUUAAAUCAGGAUGGAAGAAUUUGGAGGGGGGGGGGGGGGGGGAAAUGUGAAGCCCUGAGAAACCUACCAGCUCAUAGUAAAGUAUGCCAUUUUUACCACUUUUUAUAUAUUUGAGGUAGGUACCCUGCUGGGAAUAAAAACUGUGUAGUUUUGGUGUGUGGUCUCAAAGCUCGACCACCAUAGUUCCUAAAGACAAGAAAAAGAAAAA